rnacentral:rRNA from 1 species
UACGUAGGGUGCGAGCGUUGUCCGGAAUUAUUGGGCGUAAAGAGCUCGUAGGCGGUUUGUCGCGUCGUCCGUGAAAACUCACAGCUUAACUGUGAGCUUGCGGUCGAUACGGGCAGGCUAGAGUUCGGCAGGGGAGACUGGAAUUCCUGGUGUAGCGGUGAAAUGCGCAGAUAUCAGGAGGAACACCGGUGGCGAAGGCGGGUCUCUGGGCCGAUACUGACACUGAGGAGCGAAAGCGUGGGGAGCGAACAGG